rnacentral:rRNA from 1 species
CGGCGUGCUUAACACAUGCAAGUCGAACGAGAAGAGAUGAGAAGCUUGCUUCUUAUCAAUUCGAGUGGCAAACGGGUCGAGUUAACGCGUAAGCAACCUGCCCUUCAGAUGGGGACAACAGCUGGAAACGGCUGCUAAUACCGAAUACGUCUUUUUGUCGCAUGGCAGAGGGAAGAAAGGGAGGCUCUUCGGAGCUUUCGCUGAAGAGGGGCUUGCGUCUGAUUAGCUAGUUGGUGAGGUAACGGCCCACCAAGCCGACGAUCAGUAGCCGGUCUGAGAGGAUGAACGGCCACACUGGAACUGAGACACGGUCCCAGACUCCUACGGGAGGCAGCAGUGGGGAAUCUUCCGCAAUGGGCGAAAGCCUGACGGAGCAACGCCGCGUGAGUGAUGACGGCCUUCGGGUUGUAAAGCUCUGUGAUCGGGGACGAACGGUCAGCAGACGAAUACUCUGCUGAAGUGACGGUACCCGAAUAGCAAGCCACGGCUAACUACGUG